rnacentral:rRNA from 1 species
UACGUAGGGAGCGAGCGUUAUCCGGAUUUAUUGGGUGUAAAGGGCGCGUAGACGGAUCUGCAGGUUGGAUGUGAAAUCCCUGAGCUUAACCCAGGAACUGCAUCCAAAACUGUAGACCUUGAGUAUGGGAGAGGAAAGCGGAAUUCCUAGUGUAGCGGUGAAAUGCUCUGAUAUUAGGAAGAACACCAGUGGCGAAGGCGGCUUUCUGGACCAAAACUGACGUUGAGGCGCGAAAGUGUGGGGAGCAAAC